GCUGCCUUUAUCUUCCUCUCAUUCUGCUGAGAGCUAAUCCCAGGAGAGCCCACGAAUACAACAGAAAACAUCUGGCUGGAUAUUCGAGUGUAGGAGCAAGAGCAAACUGUUUUCUAGCAGCUGCAGUUCUCUGCAGGAAAGGAGCUAAGGAUCCCGGGAAGCUGCCUGACCCACAUUGGAAGGACCACUCCCAUCCUUGGCUAAGUAACACUUGAUGCAGUGUAAGAACUCGGUGAAGAAACGAAUGUAGCAGAUAAAGAGGCCAGGUGCUGGUGAUGCAAAUGAAAUAGAUGACAGAUGCAAGCUGCCGUGUUGUGAGCUACCCUGUGAAAAGACAAGGAACUGAGGCCUCUAGCCAAUAGCCAGGAAGAAACUAAGGUCUGCCCGGAGCCAAUGAGUUAGCUUGGAAGAGGAUCCUACCUGGGUUGAGUUUUGAGAUGACUACACACUUUUGAGAGAUCCUGAGCCAGAGGACCCAGGUUUCAGAAGAUAUCAGAGAAGACAUUUGAGAACAUGAAGUAGUGUGGACUUCCACAAUUAUGCCCUUGUGCGUCCCAGGCUGUGAUGAAAAAUACCUAACAGAAGGAUCUGGAAAUGUAUUUUGAGUUUCUCAGAGUUGCUGGUCGCCUGGAGAGCAAACACAAUGCUUCUACUGCUCUGGAAAAUCUGAAGCUACAAAGAUGAUUUUCAAAAUUAAGGGCAACUCACAGCUGAAAAUUAUACCUUUGGGCAAAGGGCCAAUUCGGGAUGCGUUUCUCUCUGAUUUGGAGCCAUGCCAAAGUCCCUCAGUCCCAUUUGUUCAGUUUUACAGCUAACAAACAAAAAGGAAAUACUGAGAAUGUA